UCCUGUAAGAAAUGCAGCGAGAGCAUCCCCAAGGACUCGCUGUGGAUGGCCAUCAUGGUGCAGUCACUCAUGUUGGAUGGGAAGGUCCCACACUGGUACCACUUCUCCUUCUUCUGGAAGGUGGGCCACUCCAUCCGGCACCCUGACAUCGAAGUGGAUGGGUUCUCCGAGCUUCGGUGGGACAAUCAACAGAAGGUCAAGAAGACUGUAGAAGCUGGAGGAGUGACUGGCAAAGGCCAGGAUGGAAUUGGCAGCAAGAUGGAGAAGAAUACGCCAAGUCCAACAGAAGCACAUGCAAGAGCUGUAUGGAUAAGAUAGAAAAGGGCCAGGUGCACCUGUCCAAGAAGAUGCUGGACCUGGAUAAGCCCCAACUGGGCAAGAUCGACCGCUGGUACCACCCAAACUGCUUUGUCAAGAACAGCGAGGAGCUGGAUUUCUGGCCUUAGUACAGCGCCACCCAGCUCAAGGGCUUUAGCCUCCUCUCUGCAGAGGAUAAAGAAGCCCUAAAGAAGCAGCCUCCAGGAGUCAAGAGUGAAGGAAAGAGAAAAG